rnacentral:lncRNA from 10 species
GGCUUGUGGCAUGUGACACUCUGAGUAGGUAACAGGUACCAGCUACUGUCAGCAGGGAGGAAGGUAUGUGGUGACCACGAGUCCAGACCUGAGGGUCCUGACCCUCUAAUGCGGCCUCUCACCAGUGUUCGCAGAAACCCACCCGCUGAUUCAAUACGGGGACCAGGAACCUGCCAUGACAGUCACGACUCAGUCUGCCUGCACCUACAUGAUUAAAAAGCUUUAUUGCUCACACAAAGCCUGUUUGGUGGUCUCUUCAUAUGGAUGCGCAUAACAUUUGGUGCCGAAGACCCCGGACAGGGUGACUCCUUCGGGAGAUUGGUCCCCUCUCCUCACCCUCACUCCAUGAGAAGAUCCACCUACGACCUCAGGUCCUCAGACCAGCCCAAGGAACAUCUCACCAAUUUCAAACCGGACAGGAAUGUCAGGCCUCUGAGCCCGAGCUAAGCCAUCAUAUCCCCUGUGACCUGCGCUUAUACAUCCAGAUGGCCUGAAGCAACUGAAGAACCACAAAGAAGUGAAAAUACCCAGUUCCUGCCUUAACUGAUGACAUUCCACCAUUGUAAUUUGUUCCUGCCCCACCCUAACUGAUCAGUUGACCUUGUGACAUUCCUUCUCCUGGACAAUAAAUCUCAGGAGCUCCCCACUGAGCACCUUGUGACCCCCGCCUGUACCCGCAAGAGGACAACCCCCUUUAACUGUAAUUUUCCACUACCUACACAAAUCCUAUAAAACCGCCCCAUCCCUAUCUCCCUUUGCUGACUCUUUUUUCAGACUCAGUCUGCCUGCACCCACAUGAUUAAAAAGCUUAAUUGCUCACACAAA